AAACACCAAUAAUAUAUAUGUGAGUGAAGAUUAAACUCAUUUAAGAAUACAACUCCCUGCACUGAUUAAUGAUUAUGAUGAACAAUAAGUAAAGAGGGUCUCACCAUUUCACGCCUUCCUGUCAAGACACGAGAAGGAAUUGGGUACUGUUCGGCAUGACGACAAGGAUCAAACCUUGAGGGCAAAUAAUCCACCUGCAACAUCAAGUCACAACAUCAGAAGAGUACUAAUAUGAACUUGCAAUUAGCCUUGGUAAGUCAAAAACAUUAGUAUACCUCUUCAUCGCGAUGCAUGAAGUUCAUAGCACCAUCGCGGUGAUUAUUGUGAUGAGCACACUUGGGAGCAUUAACAGGAAGCUGCAUAUAGUUUGGUCCAAUGCGGUGUCUCUGAGUAUCAGCAUACGCGAAUAUCCUGGUCUGGAGAAGCUUAUCCUCCGAAUAGUAAACACCAGGGACAAUAUGGCCAGGGUUAAACGCGAGCUGCUCAUUCUCAGCGAAGAAGUUAUCAAUGUUCCUAUUCAAUACCAAUCGACCAACUGGCAUCAAUGGCAAGAUAUCCUCAGGCCAGGUCUUGGUUACAUCAAGAGGAUCAAAGUCGAAUUUGUCUACAUCCUCAGUAUCCAUAAUUUGGAUAAAAAGUUUCCACUCGGGAUAGUUUCCAGCAGCAAUCGAGUCGUAGAGAUCCUUGGUGGCGUGGCUAUGAUUUGUACCUCCGACCCUAAUAGCUUCUUCCUCCGACAUGCACUUAACACCACAAGUUGGCUUCCAGUGAAAUUUCACAUAAUGUGCUUUCCCAGCCUUGUUUAUUAAUUGAUAGGCGUGAACACCAUACCCUUCCAUGUGUCUGUAAUCUGUCGGGAGACAAACAUCAUCGAAGAACCAAGCGAAAGUAUGCAAACUCUCCGGAAGGAAAGAGAAGAAAUCAAGGAUCCUCCAGUAUUCCUGAAUGUGUGACUUUGGAUUUGGUUUCAGUGCACGAAUCGUGUCAGGGAACGAUUUUGCAUCACGAUUAAAG
rnacentral:lncRNA from 1 species